GAAGAGGAAGAUCGACCAGAGCUCUCUCUCUCUUCUCUAGGCAUGUGCUCUGAGAAAAGGUCAUCUGAGGACAAAGUACCCGUCUGCAAGCCAGGAAGAGAGCCCUUGCCAGAAACUAAACCCCGCUGGAAACUUGAUUUUGCGCUUUCCAGCCUCUAGAACUAAUAUGUGAAAAACAUUUAAAUCAGAAAGUAAAUGACAGGAUGAUUUGCAAGACACAGGGAUGUAAAAUUAAAAAGCCUCUCGAGCUCCAAAGCUACCUGUUAACUUCAACAAGCACACUGGCCUGGAGACUACAUGAUGGUGUAUCAGUAAUGGAUUUACAACUGCAAACAUCUCAAGCAGCAGUGCCACAUCCCUGCUACCUCCCUGCUUGUGCGUGUGUCCCUACAUUAUCCAAAAUAGGGGUGGGCUAAUGACGAUUGCAGGCUAACUCCAGCCUACCACUUGCUUCUAUAAAUAAAGUCUUAUUGUACACAAACAUA
rnacentral:lncRNA from 1 species